GAUUACCUAGCUAAUAAUAAUCUACCCAUAGCUUAAAAUUGGUGGGGAGCACGAUGGUUGCGAUACGAGCUUAUCGUUAUGAAAUUAGAGAAAAAUAUGUAACAAUAAUGCACUGUCAAUGCUGUUUUCCAAAAAAAUUUUGCACUGUCAAUGGCUGUUGGAACAAUCUGACAAGGAGCAAGGGAUUAGGUAAGGUAGCGCUCUAGCCAGCCUUCUUGUUAUAUACCACACUAGAACUGGUGCAAGAACAAGACACGCCUCUUCUCCACCCUCUUUUCAGUAGAUCAUAACUUUCCUUUCUGUCGAGAGGAAGAGGCGGCAACGAUGGACGAACCAUCGCAGAGCGAGGACCGGAAGCUGUCGGCCAUGGAGCAUGUCAAGAAGCGCCAUGAGGAGAAGGGCUUCCUCUAUGCCUGCUUCUUCAUGCUGUGCUGCUGCUUCUGCUGCUACGAGGCCUGCGAGCACUGCCUCGAGUGCAUCUGCAGCUGCGGCAAGAAGGACGAGUGAGAUCAGAUCAACCAACUCGCUGCCGCGCCAUGAUCGAUUUGCUGUGGAUAUGUUUUCAGUUGUGAGUCGUGAUGAAUCUGGAAUUGUUCGUCGAAAUAAAACAUGCUGCAAUUCUUGGCUUUGCUGUGUAAAGUGUUAACUAUACGUUAACCCCAGUAGUGUCUGUGAGUGAGUUGAGUGAAGCAGCUGUGCUUGUGACUGUAAAUUUGUGACUGGUUUGCCUUGUCAGUGCACUAGUAUAUGUUA